CCGAACUCAGAAGUGAAACGCCGUAGCGCCGAUGGUAGUGUGGGGUCUCCCCAUGCGAGAGUAGGGAACUGCCAGGC
rnacentral:rRNA from 1 species